rnacentral:rRNA from 1 species
CCUACGGGGGGCAGCAGUGGGGAAUAUUGGACAAUGGGGGGAACCCUGAUCCAGCCAUGCCGCGUGUGUGAAGAAGGCCCUCGGGUUGUAAAGCACUUUCAGUGAGGAAGAACGCCUGGUGGUUAAUACCCAUCAGGAAAGACAUCACUCACAGAAGAAGCACCGGCUAACUCCGUGCCAGCAGCCGCGGUAAUACGGAGGGUGCGAGCGUUAAUCGGAAUUACUGGGCGUAAAGCGCGCGUAGGUGGCUUGAUAAGCCGGUUGUGAAAGCCCCGGGCUCAACCUGGGAACGGCAUCCGGAACUGUCAAGCUAGAGGGCAGGAGAGGAAGGUAGAAUUCCCGGUGUAGCGGUGAAAUGCGUAGAGAUCGGGAGGAAUACCAGUGGCGAAGGCGGCCUUCUGGACUGACACUGACACUGAGGUGCGAAAGCGUGGGUAGCAAACAGGAUUAGAUACCCCAGUAGUC